rnacentral:rRNA from 1 species
UGAAACACGGACCAAGGAGUCUAGCAUGUGCGCGAGUCAUUGGGACUUACGAAUAAACCCAGAGGCGCAAUCAAAGUGAAAGGACGCGCCCAGCGCGCGUCCCCGAGGGAAGAUGCGCGGGCGCCGCCGCGCGCCCCGCCGCAUUCCCGAGGCGUUCCGAGAAAGCCGCCGUGCGACUAUCGGGACGCACUGAGAGCGUACACGCUGGGACCCGAAAGAUGGUGAACUAUGCCUGGUCAGGUCGAA